CCUCUCUCUACAGACACGGGCAGAGACUGCAAACUCCUCUCACCCACACCUCUUCAUGAGAAAUCAAGAAAGAAGAAAAGAGAGAGAAAGUACAAUGCCCUCCCGUGCAUAACACCCCUCAAGACACAGAGAAAUGAGCAAGCACUGUUUCCCUCACUGUCCAGCUCCACAAGGCGAGAAUCACUACCAUACAUGAUCAAAUACUGCGGCUGGCUGACGGCACAAACACUUCUACCCAACACCUGCUUCCUGUGAAACUUUGGGUAACCACCAGAGGCAAUUUUACUGAAACUCAUUUAUUGUCUCCCUGUGCUCACAUAACAGAUAACAUAAAAUUUUCUAUUUUUUUAGUGAGAUAAUAUGAAAUUGAUAUAUUUCAAAAUAUCCUUGGGCUGAAAAUAUAUGAACAAUAAAACAUUAUCAAAAUGGA